GCUCGGAUGGUGGAAUCGGUAGACACGCAGGACUUAAAAUCCUGUAGGCAGAAAUGCCUGUGUGGGUUCAAGUCCCACUCCGAGUA
rnacentral:tRNA from 3 species